ACUCAUUUAUUACCUCGCACAGAAACGGGAUUUUCGUGAUGAUGCAUAUUCUAAAUUCGUUUGACUAGAUACGAAGGAAUAUUAGCAAAAUUUCAGUUUCAAAAAUUGCUGAUUGAUAAUUAAAUUUACCUGGAUUAGCGGCACUUGAAACAUCCGCCAUGAGAAUUAGUAGCUUGUAAAGAACUGAAGAUGAAAUGCUGACCUGACGCCUAGAAGAUGUAUUCUAAUCAAUAGCCGAAGUAAAUCUUUCUUCUGCCGACUACAUUACCUGCAAUACGCAAACUAAAGCUAGUACAGAAUACUAAUGAGAUAUCGAUUACUCAAAUACAAGUGGAUCUACUGUAAUCAUCUCAAAAUGAUUACAAAUAAAGAUUAAACGUUUCCAUGAUCUUUGGAAUAAAUGCACGAGGUUUGCAAACAGAGUCACUGCAUGAGAUUCUACAGAGAGGAAUGCAUCCAUAAAUUUGAUCAUUAAUGGAAGUUAAUGGUGCAGUCAGUCAUCAAACAGUGACAACCAUGGCAAUUACUGCAAUGCGACCUCAGCAAGAAAUAUGAAGACUGAUGUAUCUGUUGAGUAAGACAAUGCUGGUUUACUAAUUAUAAUUUUAAAGCAAAUAUAAUCUUUGCAUUAUGUAUUGUAAUGUGUAAGAUAACAAAUAAAUACU